UUAAAAUCUUUGAUGGGAAGAGUAGAUAUUAUUAAGUAUCCGCAGCGAGUAGGGUUGGUGUAAGCCUAUGAGAAAAAUAAUAUUGAAAGACAUCCCGGAGAUGCUUAUUUGAAUAGAAAUAUUAAGUAGAAUAAGCCGGUUUUCCUCCGUUAAAGGGACUAGAGAUAACAAAGUAUUAAUACGUUGUUAAAUUAAGAUGGUACCGUGAAUGUAAGAUUUCACUCCUAUA
rnacentral:ncRNA from 1 species